rnacentral:rRNA from 1 species
CCUACGGGAGGCAGCAGUGGGGAAUCUUGCACAAUGGAGGAAACUCUGAUGCAGCGAUGCCGCGUGAGUGAAGAAGGCCUUUGGGUUGUAAAGCUCUUUCGUCGGGGAAGAAAAUGACUGUACCCGAAUAAGAAGGUCCGGCUAACUUCGUGCCAGCAGCCGCGGUAAUA